rnacentral:lncRNA from 1 species
UUGUUGCAACGUAUACUUUUAUCGUUCAUCUAUGUCUAAAAUUAGAUCCCCACCCAAGCCAACUCUUCUCUCACGUUGAAGUCCUGCCCUCUGCUUCUUACUUUUACCUUUCUGGGGGUUUACCUUUGUGCCUUUGUUAGGGUUUAUGGGAUUGCAUAGAUUUCGUUACUGGUCGCUGUGUUGAGGAUUGUGGGUUGGGAUAUUAGGGUUGGGAUUUUUUUGGCUUUUU